CGGGUUGAUGUGCUGGUCAGGGCCAUAUAUUACUUGACUGGGGGUCAAGUGGUCGCAGGUUCAAAUCCUGUCAGCCCGA
rnacentral:tRNA from 1 species